GUCUACGGCCAUACCACCCUGAACGCACCCGAUCCCGUCUGAUCUCAGAACCUAAGCAGGGUCAGGCCUGGUUAGUACUUGGAUGGGAGAAAAAAAAUAUUUUUAAAAAAAUAACAACAGGGCCCGGCGGCGUGGCCU
ensembl:rRNA 5S_rRNA 5S ribosomal RNA